GAAUUAUAUAUAACUCCGCGUGAUGACGGUACGGAAGAAGAAGGCACUGCUACUACGUGCAGCAGCGCGUAUACGUAGGGUGGCGAGCGUUAAUCGAUUACUGGCGUAAAGGGGUGCGCAGGCGGCGUCGCAAGUCAGGCGUGAAAUCCCCGGGCUUAACCUGGGAACUGCACUUGAAACUACGAUGCUGGAGUAUGGCAGAGGGAGGUGGAAUCCCACGUGUAGCGGUGAAAUGCGUAGAGAUGUGGAGGAACACCGAUGGCGAAAGCGGCCCUCUGGUCCGAUACUGACGCUGAGGCUCGAAAGCGUGGGGAGCAAACGGGAUUAGAUACCCCGGUAGUCCACGCCGUAAACGUUGUGCGCUAGGUGUGGGAGGUAUCGACCCCUCCCGUGCCGCAGCUAACGCGAUAAGCGCACCGCCUGGGGAGUACGGGCGCAAGCCUGAAACUCAAAGGAAUUGACGGGGGCCCGCACAAGCGGUGGAGCAUGUGGUUUAAUUCGAGGCAACGCGAAGAACCUUACCCGGGCUUGACAUCUCCUGACCGUCCGUGAAAGCGGGCUUCCCCUUCGGGGGCAGGAAGACAGGUGUUGCAUGGCUGUCGUCAGCUCGUGUCGUGAGAUGUUGGGUUAAGUCCCGCAACGAGCGCAACCCCUGUUCCCAGUUACCAGCAUUCAGUUGGGGACUCUGGGAAGACUGCCGGUGACAAGCCGGAGGAAGGUGGGGACGACGUCAAGUCAUCACGGCCCUUACGCCCGGGGCGACACACGUGCUACAAUGGCCGGUACAAAGGGUUGCCAGACCGCGAGGUUGCGCCAAUCCCAAAAAGCCGGUCUCAGUUCGGAUCGGAGUCUGCAACCCGACUCCGUGAAGUCGGAAUCGCUAGUAAUCGCGGAUCAGCCAUGCCGCGGUGAAUACGUUCCCGGGCCUUGUACACACCGCCCGUCACAUGACCCGAGUCGGAUGCACCCGAAGUCACUGGCCCAACCCGCAAGGGGGGAGGUGCCGAAGGUGUGCCCGGUGAGGGGGAUGAAGUCGUAACAAGGUAAC
rnacentral:rRNA from 1 species